rnacentral:rRNA from 1 species
AUUGAACGCUGGCGGCAUGCCUUACACAUGCAAGUCGAACGGCAGCGGACCUUCGGGUGCCGGCGAGUGGCGAACGGGUGAGUAAUGCAUCGGAACGUACCUUUCAGUGGGGGAUAACGUAGCGAAAGUUACGCUAAUACCGCAUAUUCUGUGAGCAGGAAAGCAGGGGAUCGCAAGACCUUGCGCUGAUUGAGCGGCCGAUGUCAGAUUAGCUAGUUGGUGAGGUAAAGGCUCACCAAGGCGACGAUCUGUAGCGGGUCUGAGAGGAUGAUCCGCCACACUGGGACUGAGACACGGCCCAGACUCCUACGGGAGGCAGCAGUGGGGAAUUUUGGACAAUGGGGGCAACCCUGAUCCAGCCAUGCCGCGUGAGUGAAGAAGGCCUUCGGGUUGUAAAGCACUUUCGGCCGGGAAGAAAUCGCACAGGCUAAUACCUUGUGUGGAUGACGGUACCGGAAUAAGAAGCACCGGCUAACUACGUGCCAGCAGCCGCGGUAAAAC